CCUGGGAGCUGUGCCCUGCUCCGGGGACAGUGCAGCAGUACAGGGGAAGGAGCUGCUGCAGUUUCACCCUUUAAUGCCAGGUGUUUCACGUGGAGGUUACGGAGCUAUGGAAUUGUUGGCUGGAAGCGACCUCUGGAGGUCUCCAGCCCAAAGGCCCCAUCGGAGCGGCACCCAUGGACACCAGGUUACAUCAGCCACAGCCACGUCUGAAAAGCUCCAGGGCUGAAAGCUCCCGUGCCCCCCCCCCCCCCCCGAGAUGACCAGUGGCCGUGCUGGUCACUACCUUGGCAAGAAGAUUCCCCUGGGUUCAGGCUGCCCCUCCCACUGACCCUUUAGCCAUCACCCCCAGCUGUGCUGGCUCUGGCGCGUUAGUAACUGCGCUUGAGUAGCUGCAAACUGCCCUUGGAUUUGCCUCAGCCGCCUUCUCGCCAAAGCAAACAGGUUACUCCUUGUGCGCCGGCUGCUGGACCCUCUUCUCUAUGGCUCUUUUGAACGGGGAUGCUGUGGUGCUCUUGUUGCUUGUGUGGCAGCAGCUCAAGGGACUGGGCCCAGCCCUGCUGGAGGAGAACAGGACCAGUGACAGCCUGACAUUGCCCCAGAGGCUUCUCAACUCCUGGGUAACUUCAUCCUCAGCUGCUGAAGGUGGCUGCUGGGUCACUUUUGUCAGUGGGACUGGAAGGGAGCCAUCACCUGCCUCCUGGAUGGCCUGCCAGCCCUGGUGUGUGGUUAAACAGGAAAUAUUCUAACUGGCUGGGAUCCCAGUGAGCAAUUACAAAUAUUUUAUUAUAGUUAAAGGACUUGGAAUUCAGCCUCAGGCUGUGGGCAUCAGAAAAUCCAUGUGUGGAAAUCCCAAGUGUUGCAAGCAGCCUGGGAGGGUUUUAUAUGGAGGGAUUCCUUCUCAUUUUACUGAAGUUACACUCGUGGUUUAAAAAUAAAAUAAAAAGCUUGGACUUGCA
rnacentral:lncRNA from 1 species